CUGCUGGGCAGCGCCGCUGUGUUCCGCCUCGGCCCAAGCUCCGAGGCACAGCUACAAGUGGGGGCUGUAUUACGUGUGUGUGCGUAGAGUCGUGGCAAAGUGAAACUUUCUCGAGUUCAGUCGUUCCACUAGAGUGGGUCAGAUAAGAAAAGGACCUUCCCCAGGCCCGCUGCAGCUGUCUGCUCCGUUCUUUCAGUCUCCCGUAAGAUACUCCAGUAUUGAAAUCAAUGGGACAGGGACUACUGAAAUGGAUAUAAUAGAGGAGCUUCACUGAGGAUCAAGAACUAUGGUGGUAACAAUACAUGGAAUUUCAGAGAGUUCUGAGGCAACAGUGGGAGUCAGACAAAGUGUGCCGAGUCCACUUUUCUUCAUCCUAGUUAUGGAGUUAAAUAAUAGAAGAACCAAACCUGUGGAGACAGAGAAAGGUAAUCUACGCUGACCAUCUGGCCCUUCUGGCUGACAGCAAAGAGGAACUGGUAAAUAUGGUAUCAAAGUAGGCAUCUGUGUUUUGAAGAUCAUGAUUUGAAAGUAAACACAGAAGACUGCAAUUAUGCAAGUAAGGAAGAGUGGUAGAAGAGCUGUUGACUGAAGUUUCUGGAGAGAAGAAAGAAUCUGUAUUCUUGGGAAGUAUACUUCAUGCCAUUGGACUGAACUGAAAAGAGCCCCACAACGUCCAUGGAUGGCAGUGAAAGGCAGGAGUACUGUGGAACUUGCAAUUAAUUCACAAACAAAGGAAAAGUUCACUGAAUUUGUCUGUCCCUGCCUGUUCUGAUUUGGUAACACUGGGUAGUACAAAAUAAUAUACUGAAGAGAAUGGCAGGCAAGCAGAGAGUAAACAGAGUGCACAUGGAAUGAGUUGGGGGAAGAUGAAUUUGGGACUCUCAGUGAUAGCAAAGAAAGCAUUGGAGAAAGAGAACAGCAAGAAAGGACAUGAAAGACAGAGGACACGAUGGAAAGACUGUCAAGAGAAGUUUGAAGAGAAAAGGACUGGAACUCCAAGACCUACGAACCUGUGCCAUGAACUAGAAGGAGUAGUGAAUAAUCAUAGGCACCUCCAACCCCAAGGAAAAUGGAAAAGGCGUUGAGAAGUGAAGUUGAAAGAUGGCUGAUGUAGUCCCCUGCGUUGUCUAUCCUGUUUAUUCACAAAAACAAAUAAUGAACUACCCAAAAGCAAUGAGAACUCCUGUAUAUUUGUCUAUCAGGGUGUCUCAAGCUUACUCUGGAGGGAUCACUUCUAAAGAGAAGAGAGAGUAACUCUAUGCCGAUUCAAUGCUUGGUAUCUUUUCUGGCAGUUUUUAUUAGUUGUGUUACUUGAACAUAGUAUGUGAUAAAUGUAUUUACCAGAAUUGUUAAAUUAAAAAACUAUUUUAAAAAAUUCAUACUUAAAUUUUUGAAAUAAAAAGGUAACAGUAUACUAAACAAAAAGGUAUUCACCCCUCUAGCAAUUUACAGCAAUCAAGAUCUAGCAUAUACACAGGAGAUGUCAGCUAAUGAGAUAAUCCUAAUUUAUUUCCAAUUAACUGAUUUGCAGCUGGAUAAUUAUGAAAAUUUGUAUGUGCAAUUGCAUCCACAAAUUUUGACCCUGAUCCUGCAGCGUACUCAAUGUGGCUUUUCUCUUUGCUCAUAAGGAGUCCCAUUGACACCAUAGGGAGCUGUGCGGAUCGAGCUCAUUACAGGAUCAGGGCCUUGGUGAAUAAUUUUGUAGCUAUCUUUUAAAAA